UCUCGAGCGAGUGGCGAACGGGUGAGUAACGCGUGAGGAACCUGCCUCAAAGAGGGGGACAACAGUUGGAAACGACUGCUAAUACCGCAUAAGCCCACGACCCGGCAUCGGGAAGAGGGAAAAGGAGCAAUCCGCUUUGAGAUGGCCUCGCGUCCGAUUAGCUAGUUGGUGAGGUAACGGCCCACCAAGGCGACGAUCGGUAGCCGGACUGAGAGGUUGAACGGCCACAUUGGGACUGAGACACGGCCCAGACUCCUACGGGAGGCAGCAGUGGGGAAUAUUGCACAAUGGGGGAAACCCUGAUGCAGCGACGCCGCGUGGAGGAAGAAGGUCUUCGGAUUGUAAACUCCUGUUGUUGAGGAAGAUAAUGACGGUACUCAACAAGGAAGUGACGGCUAACUACGUGCCAGCAGCCGCGGUAAAACGUAGGUCACAAGCGUUGUCCGGAAUUACUGGGUGUAAAGGGAGCGCAGGCGGGAAGACAAGUUGGAAGUGAAAUCCAUGGGCUCAACCCAUGAACUGCUUUCAAAACUGUUUUUCUUGAGUAGUGCAGAGGUAGGCGGAAUUCCCGGUGUAGCGGUGGAAUGCGUAGAUAUCGGGAGGAACACCAGUGGCGAAGGCGGCCUACUGGGCACCGACUGACGCUGAGGCUCGAAAGUGUGGGUAGCAAACAGGAUUAGAUACCCUGGUAGUCCACACCGUAAACGAUGAUUACUAGGUGUUGGAGGAUUGACCCCUUCAGUGCCGCAGUUAACACAAUAAGUAAUCCGCCUGGUGAGUACGACCGCAAGGUUGCAACUCAAAUGAAUUGACGG
rnacentral:rRNA from 1 species